CAAACACGCACCUCUGAUCUGCAGCCACGGAUCGUACCAACGGCGACCUCGACGACCUUGGAAGACUGCCGCAUCCUCGAAUCAUCCCUAGCGCGCCGUCUCCGAUAGAGAAGGAAGAUCCUUUCUGCUUAUUGCUGUGGUACGCCCACUAAAAGAGGGCGCUUUUAAGACUGCACAUUGAAUCUAUUCAUGGCGUGAGAUUUUAGUUGAUCGGAUUGAGUGAAGUGCAAAGCUUACAGUUAAUUCCAUGCUCAGCUUUUAGCUGCCGCGACAAUGGCCUUCUCUGCUGCCUUCUACCGUGCCGCUUCCAUUGCCUCUCAGCUGCCCGCUCCCUUUCCAGGAGUCUGCACCCUCGCCUCUCGGCCGUUAUCCAUCCCCCCUGUUUAAGGAAUGUCAUCUCAGAGAGAACUGCAUGGUCCCUUCCUUGUACUGCAUAUUUCUCUUCUGUUACAACGAAGCCAGCCUCCGACUCCAACCUCCUUCAAGGCGUCGACUCUGAGAUCAAGUGCGCACUGGAAUCUGACGGUUAUGACAGGCGGGUGGAGGAGAUACCAGGUGGCUUUGGCUUUCCUUUACUCUGAAGAGAAACUAUCAUCGAGAGAGAGUAUCGAGGUCAUAGUUUCCAUGCCUAGCCUUGUCGCUGGUGAGGAACUAGAUAAUGAACCUGACAACAAUGAUGAAGACGGUGAUCAAUCGGAGAGACCUAGUCAAUCUAGCAUCCCACUCACCGUUGUCGUAUCUAAAGGAAUUAAGGAAAGGGGCUAAGUUUGGAGUUCUCAUGUGCUGCCUAUCCUAAUGAAGUUACCAUUGAUAGCAUGUCUGUCAGAGAAAACAAAGAAUCUGAUGAUGAGAUGCUUGUCUAUGAAGGACCUGAUUUCAAAUUUGUAUUCUUUUCCUUCAUUUUGUUAUUUUGUAUGAUUAUAUUUAGGAACAACAAUACAAUAUUUUUUUUGUGCA